GAUGAAGAACGUAGCUAAAUGCGAUACGUAAUGUGAAUUGCAGAAUUCAGUGAAUCAUCGAGUCUUUGAACGCACAUUGCGCCCCCUGGUAUUCCGGGGGGCAUGCCUGUCCGAGCGUCAUUGCUGCCCUCAAGCACGGCUUGUGUGUUGGGCCUCCGCCCCCCGGCUCCCGGGGGGCGGGCCCGAAAGGCAGCGGCGGCACCGCGUCCGGUCCUCGAGCGUAUGGGGCUUCGUCACCCGCUCCGUAGGCCCGGCCGGCGCCCGCCGGCGACCCCCCUCAAUCUUUCCAGGUUGACCUCGGAUCAGGUAGGGAUACCCGCUGAACUUAAGCAUAUCAAUAAGCGGAGGA
rnacentral:misc_RNA from 1 species